AUUUUCUGAACAUGGCUCAUGAACUGGACCACUGCACUCGUGACUGCAAUGUGUUUGUCUGCAUAAAAUGUAUACAGGGUCAAGCCAGACAAUUCAGUAUGGAGAUGGGAUGGGCACAUGAACCCCAACUCCUGGCUAAGGGGCUAUUGACUGCUGAGGGCUUCUGGGAGCCAAAAAGACCAUUUUCUUUAUUGGUGAGGCUCCUAAUACACAUAGAAUACACAUCACUGGAUGGUGCUACGGCAGUGGUUCUCAACCUGUGGGUCACCACCCAUUUGAAGUCAAAGGACUCUUUCAUGGGUAACCUAAGAUCAUUGGAAAACAUAAAUAUUUAAAUUACAAUUCAUAACAGUAGCUAAAUUACAACUAUAAAGUGGCAACCAAAAUGAUUUUAUGGUUGAAGCGUUCCCUCAACAUGAGGAACUGUACUAAAGGGUUGUAGUAUUAGGAAGGUUGAGAACCACUGGGCUACACCAACAGUAUAUUUGUGGUCAGCACGAAUUGGAGUUUGUAAAUUGUUUUUUUUUAAAGCAGGAAUUAUAAAGGGAUGGAGGGGUUAAUGGUGGACCUGGAAGAAGCCAGCAGAUGAGUGGAGUAAAUAUGAUGAAGGCACAUUAUAUGAAAUUAUCAAAAAAAACAAAAGUAUUAAAUUAUAAUUCUCAUCUGGAAGUUCCAUGAAUUUGACUUUUGAAUUAACAGCAUGAGAUAACAAAAA
rnacentral:lncRNA from 1 species